UACAGAGGGUGCAAGCGUUGUUCGUAAUUAUUGGGCGUAAAGCGCGUGUAGGCGGCUUUGCAAGUCGGGUGUGAAAGCCCUCAGCUUAACUGAGGAAGUGCGCCCGAAACUGCUUGGCUUGAGUACCGGAGAGGAUGGCGGAAUUCCCCAAGUAGAGGUGAAAUUCGUAGAUAUGGGGAGGAACACCGGUGGCGAAGGCGGCCAUCUGGACGGAUACUGACGCUGAGACGCGAAAGCGUGGGUAGCAAACAGG
rnacentral:rRNA from 1 species